rnacentral:rRNA from 1 species
AACGAACGCUGGCGGCAGGCCUAACACAUGCAAGUCGAACGCAUAGCAAUAUUAGUUGAUGGCGACCGGCGCACGGGUGCGUAACACGUAUGCAAUCUACCUUAUACAGGGGCAUAACUUCGAGAAAUCGGUGCUAAUUCCCCAUAACACAAUGACUGGGCAUCCAGAUGUAGUUAAAGUUUCGGCGGUAUAAGAUGAGCAUGCGUCCAAUUAGCUAGUAGGUGAGGUAAUGGCUCACCUAGGCUACGAUUGGUAGGGGUUCUGAGAGGAUGAUCCCCCACACUGGUACUGAGACACGGACCAGACUCCUACGGGAGGCAGCAGUGAGGAAUAUUGCGCAAUGGACGAAAGUCUGACGCAGCCAUGCCGCGUGAAGGAUUGAAGGUCCUAUGGAUUGUAAACUUCUUUUGUACGGGAAUAAACCCUACCUCGUGAGGUAGGCUGAAGGUACCGUAAGAAUAAGCACCGGCUAACUCCGUGCCAGCCGCCGCUGUAACAC